rnacentral:rRNA from 1 species
GACGGAGGGCGCGAGCGUUGUUCGGAAUUACUGGGCGUAAAGCGCACGCAGGCGGUCCGUUAAGUCCUUUGUGAAAGCCCGGGGCUCAACUCCGGAAUUGCAUCGGAUACUGGCGGACUGGAGAUCGGUAGAGGCUAGCGGAAUUCCUGGUGUAGCGGUGGAAUGCGUAGAUAUCAGGAAGAACACCUGUGGCGAAGGCGGCUAGCUGGGCCGAGUCUGACGCUCAUGUGCGAAAGCGUGGGAAGCAAACAGGAUAGAUACCCGCGUA